UAGGUCCCGCCCCGCCCCCGCCCCGAACUUCAGCCCUGCUCUCCCCGCGCUCCUCAGCCGGGUCAACGUCCCGCCCCGGCCUCAAGCUCCAGCCACGCCCUUUCCACGGCGGCCCCACAGCGUCCCGGGUGCGGGCUCUCCUCACCUCCGUCGGGCCAACACGCCCAAAACGCUCACCCCGUCCUCAGCUCGGUCGGGCCCAAGGCCCCGCCCCUCCCGCUCCGUUCCCCUCAGCCCAGCCCCAGGCCCCGCCCACCUACUCCUGCGCUAAGUUCUCGCGUGGCCUUUGCCCUCACCCCGAGGGUCGGCUCCCUCGAGCGUCGUCCCUCCACACCUCAGCACCUCCAGGCCGUUUCUAGUAGCCGCGUCCCUCUGGGGGCCGCCCUUCCCUGCACCCCCGCUCACCGGCACGGCCCCCCCUUUUCUCUCUAAAGUCUCGAGUCUGAGGGCCCGUUCACUCCUUCUGCCUUCAACCCUGUCCUGGGCGGGGCUCAGCCUGCGACACGGCCCCGCCCACGCCGGCGGCCCCGCCCACUCCGCCUCACCUGCGCUGGAGCUCCGGCCAACGCCCGCCAGGCGCAGGGCUGUGUGACAACCCCCAUACACCACCGUCCUCACCUCCUCUCCAAGUCAGAUGCAUCUGUCUCAGAGCCCUUGCGCACUGCACUGGGGCCGAGAGCAGCGACCCCACCUGGUAAAGUUGGAGGUCACUGUGCCGUCUAAAUCACGAGGAGACCUGGAUCCCAUUACCUCCCCAAAAUCCUUCGCUCAGUGAGACUGGGUUGGCUGCUUUUCCCAACUUCAUCCUGCUCCUUCUCCUUCUCCUUUCUGUCUUCCUGCCUCCCCCGUCCUCCAUGUGUUCGGCAAUCUCUGAAAUGAAUCCCCAAAUGCCCCUGUCCCCUCCCCAGAUCCUCCACCUUCCUCUCUCUGUGUGCCCAAAGCACUGACUCUGCCCUUUCCUGAGGGCACUGCUCCCAUAUGUCAUUCACGUUCUAGUAACCUCCGAGCAGGGCUCUGAGUGCCCCAGACCUCCUUCGUGUCUGUAUCUGGCAACAGCAAUGGUUUGCUAAGUGAAUGUGCGUGAUUAAUAAAUUGAGCAGCGUUCAUUGGAAAACACAUUUAAUUUCAAAGUAAACAAAGAUGUUUGUACAUUAAAGUAUUUAAUUAGUGAAACAAUUAUUAUCAGUGUAACAAGCUGAAAAAUACAGCAACUUGAUACAAGACUGAGGUAACAAAAUACUUCACCAAAAAUCUAAAGAAUCCCACAGGGGGUUGAUGUUCAGUGGUUAUUGCGGGUGAGACAAUUCACAAGAAUUAGAGAAUGUCCUUACACAACUGCAUGCAGGGGUUCCGCUGGGGGGAAAGAAAAGAAAAAAGACAGCCCAGGAGAGUGCAACAGAUUUAACAAGAAACGAAUUAAAAUGUAGAAACUGAUUUUCAACUUACUUUGCAGGAUACAUAAGAAAUUGAAAACUACUCUCUACGCAACAUUUUGAAUGCUAAUUGAAAAACCAUGCAUUUUGGCACGAAAUUUAUUAAAGAUCAUACCAUACUAAUAAA